UACGGGGGGGGGCAAGCGUUGUUCGGAAUUACUGGGCGUAAAGGGCUCGUAGGCGGCCAACUAAGUCAGACGUGAAAUCCCUCGGCUCAACCGAGGAACUGCGUCUGAUACUGGAAGGCUUGAAUCCGGGAGAGGGAUGCGGAAUUCCAGGUGUAGCGGUGAAAUGCGUAGAUAUCUGGAGGAACACCGGUGGCGAAGGCGGCAUCCUGGACCGGCAUUGACGCUGAUGAGCGAAAGCCAGGGGAGCAAACGGG
rnacentral:rRNA from 1 species